rnacentral:rRNA from 1 species
GUGCACCAGGCGAGAAACCUCCGCAAUACACGAAAGUGUGACGGGGCCAUCCCGAGUGCCGUCCGCUGAGGACGGCUUUUCCCCAGUGUACACAGCUGGGGGAAUAAGGAGAGGGCAAGCCUGGUGUCAGCCGCCGCGGUAAUACCAGCUCUCCGAGUGGUGGGGACGCUUAUUGGGCCUAAAGCAUCCGUAGCCGGCUGGGCAAGUCCUCCGUUAAAUCCAACGAUUCAAUCGUUGGGCUGCGGGGGAUACUGUCCAGCUUGGGGGCGGGAGAGGCCGACGGUAUUCCCGGGGUAGGGGUGAAAUCCUAUAAUCCCGGGAGGACCACCAGUGGCGAAGGCUGUCGGCUAGAACGCGCCCGACGGUGAGGGAUGAAAGCUGGGGGAGCGAACCGGAUUAGAUACCCGGGUAGU